rnacentral:rRNA from 1 species
UACGGGAGUGGCAAGCGUUAUCCGGAAUUAUUGGGCGUAAAGCGUCCGCAGGCGGCCUUGUAAGUCUGUCGUUAAAGCGUGGAGCUUAACUCCAUUUCAGCGAUGGAAACUACAAGGCUUGAGUGUGGUAGGGGCAGAGGGAAUUCCCGGUGUAGCGGUGAAAUGCGUAGAUAUCGGGAAGAACACCAGUGGCGAAGGCGCUCUGCUGGGCCAUAACUGACGCUCAUGGACGAAAGCCAGGGGAGCGAAAGGG